UACGAAGGGGGCUAGCGUUGCUCGGAAUGACUGGGCGUAAAGGGCGCGUAGGCGGCUCAUACAGUCAGGCGUGAAAUUCCUGGGCUCAACCUGGGGACUGCGCUUGAGACGUGUGGGCUUGAGUGGGGAAGAGGGUCGUGGAAUUCCCAGUGUAGAGGUGAAAUUCGUAGAUAUUGGGAAGAACACCGGUGGCGAAGGCGGCGACCUGGUCCUUGACUGACGCUGAAACGCGAAAGCGUGGGGAGCAAACAGG
rnacentral:rRNA from 1 species